rnacentral:misc_RNA from 1 species
GAUGAAGAACGUAGUGAAAUGCGAUAAGUAAUGCGAAUUGCAGAAUUCAGUGAGUCAUCGAAUCUUUGAACGCACAUUGCGCCCUGUGGUAUUCCGCAGGGCAUGCCUGUUCGAGCGUCAUUUCAACCCUCAAGCCCCGCUUGGUGUUGGGCCCCGCCCGCUGUGGCCGGCCCUAAAGACAGUGGCGGCGCCGCCUGGCCCUCAGCGUAGUACAUCUCUCGCUCCAGGGUCCGGCGGCCGCCUGCCAGAACCCCCCAACUCUGUGGUUGACCUCGGAUCAGGUAGGGAUACCCGCUGAACUUAAGCAUAUCAAUAAGCGGAGGA